AAACUAACAAGGAUUCCCCUAGUAACUGCGAGUGAAGCGGGAAAAGCUCAAAUUUAAAAUCUGGUGGCCUCUGGUCGCUCGAGUUGUAAUUUAGAGAAGCGUCUUCCGCGCUGGACCGUGCACAAGUCUCCUGGAAUGGAGCCUCAUAGAGGGUGAGAAUCCCGUCUUUGGCACGGAUGCACCAGGGCUUUCGUGAUGCGCUCUCAAAGAGUCGAGUUGUUUGGGAAUGCAGCUCAAAAUGGGUGGUGAACUCCAUCUAAAGCUAAAUAUUGGCGAGAGACCGAUAGCGAACAAGUACCGUGAGGGAAAGAUGAAAAGCACUUUGGAAAGAGAGUGAAACAGUACGUGAAAUUGUUGAAAGGGAAACGCUUGAAGUCAGUCGCGUCGACCGAGACUCAGCCUCGCCUCGGCUUGGUGUACUUCUCGGCCGACGGGUCAGCAUCAAUUUUGCCCCUCGGAUAAUGGCAAGGGAAAGGUAGCACCUUUACAGGUGUGUUAUAGUCUCCUGUCGCAUGCGAGGGUUAGGAUUGAGGAACUCAGCAUGUGCCUUUUGGUGUCGGGGCCUCGGCCCACGCUACGUGCUUAGGAUGCUGGCAUAAUGGCUUUAAACGACCCGUCUUGAAACACGGACCAAGGAGUCCAACAUGCCCGCGAGUGUUCGGGUGGAAAACCCGUGCGCGUAAUGAAAGUAAAAGUUGGGACCCCUGUCGUGGGGGGCACCGACGCCCGGACCAGACCUUCUGUGACGGAUCUGCGGUAGAGCGUGCAUGUUGGGACCCGAAAGAUGGUGAACUAUGCCUGAAUAGGGUGAAGCCAGAGGAAACUCUGGUGGAGGCUCGUAGCGAUUCUGACGUGCAAAUCGAUCGUCAAAUUUGGGUAUAGGGGCGAAAGACUAAUCGAACCAUCUAG
rnacentral:rRNA from 1 species